rnacentral:tRNA from 1 species
GGACAGAUGGCCGAGUGGUUUAAGGCGCACGCCUGGAACGCGUGUGUACCUGCAAGGGUACCGAGAGUUCGAAUCUCUCUCUGUCCGCCA